rnacentral:rRNA from 1 species
AUGUAGGAAUAAGUAACGAUAAGGAGGGUUAGAUUCCCUCCCGCUGUAAGACCAAGGUUUCCCGGGCAAUGCCAAUCAGCCCGGGGUCAGUCGGGUCCUAAGUCUAAGCCGAACGGCGAUGGCGAUGGCAGAGACGGUUAAUAUUCCGUCACUGCCGCAUGGGGCGACGUGGAGACGGAGCAGUGAAACCACCGCGGGGCGACGGAAGUCCCCGUUGAAGAGUGUAGGUGUUGAGGAUGGCAGGCAAAUCCACCGUCCGAGCUGAACUUGAUAGUAUGGAGUCUUCUUCGGAAGAAUCCAAUAGUGUGGGUAAUCAUACUCCCGAGAAAAUCCGCUAAGCUUAACCCAUGCGGCACCCGUACCGCAAACGGACACACGUGGUCGGGUAGAACAUACUGAGGCGUUGAGAGAUUCAUGGUUAAGGAACUAGGCAAAUUGACCCUGUAACUUCGGGAUAAAGGGUCCUCGUGAAUAGCGAGGCGCAGAGAAUAGGUCCAGGCAACUGUUUAACAAAAACACAGGGCUGUGCAAACUCGAAAGAUGACGUAUACAGCCUGACACCUGCCCGGUGCCGGAAGGUUAAGAGGAGAUGUCACUCGCAAGAGGAAGCAUUGAAUUGAAGCCCCGGUAAACGGCGGCCGUAACGAUAACGGUCCUAAGGUAGCGAAAUUCCUUGUCGGGUAAGUUCCGACCUGCACGAAUGGUGUAAUGAUCCGGACGCUGUCUCAACCAUGAGCUCAGUGAAAUUGUAGUAUCGGUGAAGAUGCCGAUUACCCGCGAUGGGACGAAAAGACCCCGUGAACCUUUACUACAGCUUAGCAUUGACCUUGGUCAUCCGAUGUGUAGGAUAGGCCGGAGGCUUCGAAGCGGGAGCGCCAGCUUUCGUGGAGCCAUCCUUGAAAUACGGCCCUUUGGCUGUCUGAGGUCUAACGCGUGAUACGCGGACACUGCUUGGUGGGUAGUUUGACUGGGGUGGUCGCCUCCAAAAGCGCAACGGAGGCUUCCAAAGGUGCCCUCGGGUCGAUUGGUAACCGACCUCAAAGAGUGCAAUGGCAUAAGGGCGCUUGACUGGGAGGCAGACAUGCCGAGCAGGCAGGAAACUGGGGCAUAGUGAUCCGGCGGAUGUGUAUGGAAACUCCGUCGCUCAAAGGAUAAAAGGUACUCCGGGGAUAACAGGCUGAUCCCCCCCAAGAGCUCAUAUCGACGGGGUGGUUUGGCACCUCGAUGUCGGCUCGUCACAUCCUGGUGCUGGAGAAGGUCCCAAGGGUUGGGCUGUUCGCCCAUUAAAGUGGCACGCGAGCUGGGUUCAGAACGUCGUGAGACAGUUCGGUCUCUAUCUAUCGUGGGCGUGGGAGUUUUGAGUGGUGCCGUCACUAGUACGAGAGGACCGUGAUGGACAGACCUCCGGUUUACCAGUUGUGCCGCCAGGCGCACCGCUGGGUAUCUGAGUCUGGAUUGGAUAAGCGCUGAAAGCAUCUAAGUGCGAAGCCAGCCGCAAGAUGAGAACUCCAUUGAGGGUCGUCAGAGACGAUGACGUUGAUAGGAUGCAGGUGUAAAGACAGCGAUGUCAAAGCCGAGCAUUACUAAUUGCUC